GCUAAUAACUCAAAACAAAUUUCUCAAAUCCAAAACAGAUAGACCCAUUAUUAGAAUGGCGUCUCCCAAAUAUAUGAAGCUAUUAAUAUUUGGGUUACUACUUAUAAUCAUGGCAUCUAAUUUGGCAAUAGGGCAGGGCUGCACCAUGAAAGGUUAUCGAUGUGGUAGUAAUAUAAGUCCAUGUUGCAACGGAUUGUAUUGUAGCGGCAGAGCUAACGGUCGUUGUUGUUCACCGGUGUGGUUGUUUCCAGAUGACUGCUCAAAAUAGCCAAUGAAACAAGUGGGUGAAUGGGAGAUGUAUCAUAUAAUAUGCGUGUAUCUCGUGCUUCAAAUUGUAUGUUUUAUUUCUGUCUUAUUAGUCAUGAAUGUUGAGACAUGAGUACUAAUAAAUGGGCCUUUCUUUAAUA